GACGAACGCUGGCGGCGUGCUUAACACAUGCAAGUCGAACGGAAAGGCCCUGCUUUUGUGGGGUGCUCGAGUGGCGAACGGGUGAGUAACACGUGAGUAACCUGCCCUUGACUUUGGGAUAACUUCAGGAAACUGGGGCUAAUACCGGAUAGGAGCUCCCGCUGCAUGGUGGGGGGUGGAAAGUUUCGGCGGUUGGGGAUGGACUAGCGGCUUAUCAGCUUGCUGGUGGGGUAGUGGCUUACCAAGGCUUUGACGGGUAGCCGGCCUGAGAGGGUGACCGGCCACAUUGGUACUGAGGUACGGCCCAGACUCCUACGGGAGGCAGCAGUGGGGAAUAUCGCACAAUGGGCGGAAGCCUGAUGCAGCAACGCCGCGUGCGGGAUGACGGCCUGCGGGGUGUAAACCGCUUUCGCCUGUGACGAAGCGUGAGUGACGGUAAUGGGUAAAGAAGCACCGGCUAACUACGUG
rnacentral:rRNA from 1 species